UUCUGUACAGCUUCGGAUAUCCUAAACUUGUAGCAUUGCAAUCUCCUUCUUCUUCAUCUAUCUUUGCGAAACCUAAUUAACUGAGAAAUUAGGUCGAAAGAAUGAGUCUUUCAACAACAAUUACAACUUGGGGAUACACCCAUCAUCCCUUUUCUGACGUUGGAAAUAAAGGCAGAUCCAGAUUUCGCUCUCCAGGAUUCAUGCCUCAUCUGAAGAUGAAAUUCUUCACUAACCCUUCUUCUCUUUCUGUCUCAGCUCUUCUUACAAAGGAGCAAGAAAGCAAGAGCAAGAAACAAGCAAUGGAGUUUAAAGAAUACGUUCUUGAAAAGGCUGUUUCUGUCAACAAGGCUUUGGAAUCUGCAGUCUCUAUCAAGGAACCGGUCAUGAUUCAUG
rnacentral:misc_RNA from 1 species